AGCUCUAUGUAGAGGUGCGCGCGAGAGCGGGAGGGGCAGGACGCACAGGGAGAGAAACGCACAGAGAGGGAACUUGGGGAGACUUUAAGAGGAUUACCUCAGCCACUGGACGGCUGCGUCUUCUCUAGACUCCAUUGCUAGGGAAGGAAGUUUUAACUAUCGGUUUACUUGUGUUUCAUCUCAUCUGUAAAAAUGACCGGUGGCCCUUUGGGCACUGCGUUGACAGUGGCUUUGCUCGCCUGCACUGUUCAGUGUAUGCCGAAACAUAGGAGACACGCUCAGGAACACUCGGUGUCAUCCGUGUCCCAAGAUGGUUGUGUUGAGAGUGGGCAGCUUUAUGGAGUUGGAGAGCAGUGGGAGCGCAGUUAUCUGGGCAGCACACUCCUCUGCACUUGUCAUGGAGUUUCUGGAAUAAAGUGUAAAUCAAAGCCUGAAGCUGAGGAAACCUGCUAUGAUAAAGUAAAUGCUCGCUCCUAUCGGGUUGGAGAGACUUAUGAGAGGCCCAAGGAUGGGAUGAUCUGGGACUGCACUUGCAUUGGCUCCGGCCGAGGGAGAAUCAGCUGCACCAUUGGGAAUCGCUGUCAUGAAGGAGGGCACUCCUACAAGAUUGGAGACACAUGGAGGAGACCCCAUGACACUGAAGACUACAUGCUGGAGUGUGUCUGUUUGGGAAAUGGAAAAGGAGAGUGGACCUGCAAACCUGUAGUGGAGCGCUGUUAUGAUAAUGCAGCUGGCACAUCCUACAUGGUUGGUGAGACCUGGGAGAAACCCUACCAAGACUGGAUGAUCGUGGACUGCACAUGCCUAGGAGAAGGAAGUGGACGUAUUACAUGCACAUCCAGAAAUCGCUGUAAUGACCAGGACACACACACUUCUUACCGGAUUGGAGACACGUGGAGCAAGACGGAUUCUCGCGGGCACCUGCUACAGUGUUUGUGUACUGGAAAUGGACGUGGAGAGUGGAAAUGCACGAGGCAUGCGUCACUGCACACCGCUUACCUGGAUGGUUGUGUUGAGAGUGGUCAGCUUUAUGGAAUUGGAGAGCAGUGGGAGCGCAGUUUUCUGGGCAGCACACUCCUCUGCACUUGUCAUGGAGUUUCUGGAAUAAAGUGUAAACCAAAGCCUGAAGCUGAGGAAACCUGCUAUGAUAGAGUAAAUGCUCGCUCCUAUCGGGUUGGAGAGACUUAUGAGAGGCCCAAGGAUGGGAUGAUCUGGGACUGCACUUGCAUUGGCUCCGGUCGAGGGAGAAUCAGCUGCACCAUUGGGAAUCGGUGUCAUGAGGGAGGACACUCCUACAAGAUUGGAGACACAUGGAGGAGACCCCAUGACACUGAAGACUACAUGCUGGAGUGUGUCUGUUUGGGAAAUGGGAAAGGAGAGUGGACCUGCAAACCUGUUGUGGAGCGCUGUUAUGAUAAUGCAGCUGGCACAUCCUACAUGGUUGGUGAGACCUGGGAGAAACCCUACCAAGACUGGAUGAUCGUGGACUGCACCUGCCUAGGAGAAGGAAGUGGACAUAUUACAUGCACAUCCAGAAAUCGCUGUAAUGACCAGGACACACGCACUUCUUACCGGAUUGGAGACACGUGGAGCGAGACAGAUUUUCGCGGGCACGUGAUACAGUGUUUGUGUACUGGAAAUGGACGUGGAGAGUGGAUAUGCGGCACUGCACACCACUAGCCUGGGUGGUCAUCGUCCAGUCCAGCCCAAUCCUCACCCCAUCCAAUGGAAAGCGCCAGCUUCUGCAGAGGCAAAUCAAGAUGAAGCGGGGGCCCCAGGCAAAAUUAAAAGAUGAAGCCCUUCUAAAAGAUUAUUUUAGAAGACCUCGUUCUCGAGUCAAGAACCAUUUCUGUCGGACGCGUCCGAUUCGAGAACCGAGGAGCUGAUGAUACUGCACAUGUGUUGUGUGAUUCAGCGUGAAGCAGACUGACACACAGAGCUUCCGAACCUAAUUGGUUGCGUCUGAACUGAACUGGUUCUUUUGGUGAUUGAUUCUGAACUGAUUCUGUGCCAAUGUUAUGAGCACGGGUGA